GGCGACGUGGCCAAGUGGUAAGGCAGGAGUCUGCAAAACUCUCACCAUGGGUUCGAAUCCCAUCGUCGCCU
rfam:Ornatilinea apprima strain P3M-1 contig_1, whole genome shotgun sequence.